ensembl:lncRNA
CUGCCACCUAGGCUACGUCACUCGCCUGUCAAACUGAAGAUUUCCUUUCCACUUUUAACUCAGGGACACCACAGGAGACCAGACGGCUCAUUAAUUUCAGGGCGACCAGGGACAAUGAGUUCCUAAAAUCGAAAAUGAUCGCCAGAAAACAGUGGGAGUGAGUCUUACGUUGUUCAAUCUUUUCAUUCUUGCGUCUGUUUUCUACUUUGGUAUUUCUGUGUUGAGCUCAAUAGCCCACUGAAUGUCGGUGUCGUUAUACUGUACGUUGGCUGUGAUGUAGGCUUUUUCUGGAAGAAAUGGGGGUGGAGGGGAAAGUGACCAGGCAACAGGCUAAGAAGUGGGAGAACCUUAAAAAGAAGUACAAGGCCCGCUCUAUCACAGAACGCACCUUGGAUUGGCGGUAAUUAAAGCGCUGCUGCACCCGCCCAAUCACCGGCUCUUCAUAGGGAGUCAACAGACAUACGGGCGUCUCGAGGCAGGGGUACCCACCAUCACCUAAAAGCAUGUAACCCGGCGGUGGAUACCUGGCAGUCAAAUAAAA